GCGAUGAGGCCGGCUCGGUCCUCUGUGGAGACAGGCGGAUCGAUGAGCGCCCUCUGGCGGAGGGAUCCCCUCGGGACCCGUCGCCGGUGGGACCGCUCGUCGCUCUCGACCGCACUCCCGCGUGGACCAGUCAGCGGCAGUUUUCGCUGCGCCGUGCGCCCUGCGGGGCAGUUGGCCGAGUCCUUCGGGUCUCGGUGCUGGCCCCUGGGGCGCGACGCGGCGGAGACUGAGGAGAGUGGCGGCCCUCGCCCGAGCAGCGCAAGCCACAGGGCCGGACGGCUGCGACGACUGCGUCGGACCGGUGGGGACUGCGUGCAGUGCCCGCUGAGCGAGACGGAGGCGUCGCGGUGCAGUCACGAUGUGCGCUGAGGUCGCUGGCGCCUAGCCGGUCCCAUCCGA
rnacentral:rRNA from 1 species